UUUGGCGUAGUAGGUAGCACAUCAGUCUCUCAAGCUGAAGGUCCCGAGUUUGAGUUCGAUCCUCAAAA
rnacentral:tRNA from 1 species